CUCCAACCCCUGUGACAUACCUAUACGUUGCCUCGGCGGAUCAGCCCGCGCCCUGUAAAAAGGGACGGCCCGCCCGAGGACCCUAAACUCUGUUUUUAGUGGAACUUCUGAGUAAAACAAACAAAUAAAUCAAAACUUUCAACAACGGAUCUCUUGGUUCUGGCAUCGAUGAAGAACGCAGCAAAAUGCGAUAAGUAAUGUGAAUUGCAGAAUUCAGUGAAUCAUCGAAUCUUUGAACGCACAUUGCGCCCGCCAGUAUUCUGGCGGGCAUGCCUGUUCGAGCGUCAUUUCAACCCUCAAGCUCAGCUUGGUGUUGGGACUCGCGGUAACCCGCGUUCCCCAAAUCGAUUGGCGGUCACGUCGAGCUUCCAUAGCGUAGUAAUCAUACACCUCGUUACUGGUAAUCGUCGCGGCCACGCCGUAAAACCCCAACUUCUGAAUGUUGACCUCGGAUCAGGUAGGAAUACCCGCUGAACUUAAGCAUAUCAAUAAGCGGAGGA
rnacentral:rRNA from 1 species